UUAAAUUGAAGAGUUUGAUCAUGGCUCAGAUUGAACGCUGGCGGCAGGCCUAACACAUGCAAGUCGAACGGUAGCACAGAGGAGCU
rnacentral:rRNA from 1 species